rnacentral:rRNA from 1 species
UACAGAGGGUGCGAGCGUUGUUCGGAAUUAUUGGGCGUAAAGCGCUUGUAGGCGGCACGUCAAGUCGCGUGUGAAAUCCCCAGGCUUAACCUGGGAAGCUGCGCGCGAAACUGACGAGCUUGAGUGCCGGAGAGGGUCGCGGAAUUCCCGGUGUAGAGGUGAAAUUCGUAGAUAUCGGGAGGAACACCAGUGGCGAAGGCGGCGACCUGGACGGACACUGACGCUGAGACGCGAAAGCGUGGGGAGCAAACAGG